CACAGAUGCUUGAGUGUACCAAAUCUGUCCACAUAAAUACAAAGGCUUACAUAAAGCAAAGUGAAGGAACUGCUUGUCUUGGAAGCCGUUAGCAGGUGGAAGAUAUCUGAGGGACUCACAGGAUUCAGGAGGACAGUCACUCACUUGGAAGAAGAUGAUCUGCUGGAUCGUGUUGUUCAUGAUGCUGGUUUCACAUGUCCAUGAAAUGUCUAAAGAUCCUAAUGAGGCUCUUUUCUAUCAAGGUGAGGAAAACAGCGAUGUGACAGUAGAAUGGCAGUUUGCAUCAAAAGUCAACAUCACCAUCUCAAUGUUUAAGAUCCACUGCCUGCAGUUACCUGAGCUGAAGGUUUUCUUUAACAUGGACAGUAGUUCUGAUGAGCCUCAGCAUGAGCAGUUUGCUGGACGUGUUCAGUGUGAUAAAGACGCUCUGACCACAGGACGAGUCAGACUUAAACUGUCCAGAGUCAGGAUUAACGACUCGGGCAGCUACCUCUGCAGGAUGGCCACUGAGUUUGGAAAGAAGGUUAAAGAGUUCAGGCUCAACAUCACCGCAGCUGUGGUGAAACUAAAACCUGCAACACCAAAACCAAAAGCUGAGAGAAGUGAAAGAAUCAGCUUCAUCACUGGCCUGGUCCUGGGAGCAGGAGAAGUAGCUGUACUGAUUGGACUCAUAAUAUUAACCCUUCACUGCAUUAUGAAAUGCAGACAGGGGACAACUUAAAGUAAAACGUCAAUGUUUUAUGAGAACAGCUUCAGUGAUCGAUGGUAGCGGUUCUGCAGGUCACUGGAACUCAGCGAGAGACUCUCUGAUGGCUGUGAAUGACAAAGCAUAAGACUCACAUUAUUUACACAGUCAGCAAGCUCUCACUGGAUAUGGGCCAUUAUCUUUACGGAUGGCCCCACUUCCAUCAGGAUAAAUGUGAUCACUGAGAAACUCUUUGCACUGGAUUUGCAGUGACCCUUCACUCUAAAAUGAACAAGUGAACCAAGAAGUGAAACCCAGCAGAUCAGUGUCUGAGCACUGAGCAGAUUCUUCUCCUGAGCUAAAUCAGAAACCUCUUCAGCUGAAGUUCAUGUUGUUUUCUACCUCAUGGUAAUCUGGUUCUGUGGUAGUAGCAGUGUUUGUCAGGGAUCAUUCAGACUUCUUUGUAGACCGCACAAUAUUACCUACAUUAGUGGCAAGGUUGUUGCCAGGAUUUAUGCAUUCUGUAUUAAUUACUGUGUUGUCAUGACCCAGUGUUCAUGCAUUGCCAGCUAUGAUAGAAAAAAAGAAUGCUGGGGCUUUUUUUGCCCUUCUGAAUUUCCACUCUGUUGUAGUCAGUUUUUUCAGAGGCAAACAUAUUUGCCCCUCACAUACAUUCCCAUAGUCUCUGAAAGUUAACAAGCAAAACUGAGAAUUAAUCAUUUAAUUACUACACACUGGAAACUGGUGCAGCAGACACAAACAUUACAGAGGUUUAAACAUGUCUGUCAUACUGAGGAGACUCCAUCACAUGGCUUGUUUUUCCAUGACUUUCUCUUUAGUGAAGUCUGCUCACUUCUUCCAUGAAAGCACACAGACUUGUCUUCCUCUGAGUGUCCACAAGGUGUCCUCAGGCUAACACUGCUGCUCUCAUCCACACCAUAGUCCUCACCUCAGUCACCUGUAAGCUCUUCCACCCUCAUUUAAUUCUCUAACCAGCCCUAAACUCUCUGAGGACACACAGUAGUCGAUCAAAUGCAGUCCAAUCAUUUAUUUAGUUGGUGCAGGUAUUCACACAGCACAGCAAUGUAAGAUUACUUUUACUAGAAUUUCUCUUUUUAAAGAUGUAAUCACUGUCUGUAUUGUUAGCGUGAAAGAGGCUGCAGAGAACUUUCUUACUUGGUUAGAUUUUCUGACAUAUACAGUGCAGACAUAUGACAACAUAGCUAAUUAUAUAAUUUGCUGGGGUUCAGAUGGUUCACAUCGGAAGUUAGUUCUCAACCAAAGUGUCAACAAGUAUAUUUUUUUUCGCUUGCUUCUGAUCGGCUCCAACCUCAGAGAAUAACUAUACGUUCACAAGCAGAGAGCUGGGGCUGCACAAAGUUUCACAUUGUUGUGGGACUAACAGCAGCUGCUGUCUGUCUGUCUGUCUGUCUGUCUGCUGUUUUGUUUUGUUUUUAAGAAAGGAAGAAAAAAAGGAAGAAAACACGACAUUAACAACACGACACGCUGCUCCUCUGUAGACUACAGUAACCGAGGGAGGUCUUUUCGACUGUGUGAGGCGUUCAGGUUCAGUAUGGAUCUGUAGGUCACAUGAACAUUGCAGGCAGUCAGAGCCCAGAACUAAAAAUUGGACCUUUUUGGCGCAAGAUGUAAUCCAACAACAGACUUUAUGACUCUCUUUGUUAAACAUCUGUUUCAUUGCCAGAUAAUAAUUUUCAAAAUACACAUAUAUAUAAAAUACAUCUCGUUUUAAUUUAUUUGUAAUACAGC
ensembl:lncRNA